AUGAAGCUGGAAUUGCUAGUAAUGGCAGGUCAGCAUACUGCCGUGAAUACGUUCCCGGGCCUUGUACACACCGCCCGUCACACCAUGAGAGUUGGGAAUACCCGAAGCCUGUGAGCGAACAUAUGAGGCAGCAGUCGAAGGUAGAAUCAAUGAUUGGGGUGAAGUCGUAACAAGGUACC
rnacentral:rRNA from 1 species